UACGAAGGGUGCAAGCGUUAAUCGGAAUUACUGGGCGUAAAGGGUGCGUAGGCGGUUCGUUAAGUCUGUUGUGAAAUCCCCGGGCUCAACCUGGGAAUGGCAAUGGAUACUGGCGGGCUAGAGUGUGUCAGAGGAUGGUGGAAUUCCCGGUGUAGCGGUGAAAUGCGCAGAUAUCGGGAGGAACACCGGUGGCGAAGGCGGUUCUCUGGGCCUGUGCUGACGCUGAGGAGCGAAAGCGUGGGGAGCGAACAGG
rnacentral:rRNA from 1 species